rnacentral:rRNA from 1 species
CUACGGGGGGCUGCAGUCGCGGAACUUUUACAAUGCACGCAAGUGUGAUAAAGCAAGCCAAAGUGCUAUUCGUUUAGAAUAGCUUUUUUUCAGUGUAAAAACCUGGAAGAAUAAGGACUGGGAAAGACUGGUGCCAGCCGCCGCGGUAAUACCAGCAGUUCAAGUUGCAUCCCUUUUUAUUGGGUCUAAAACAUCCGUAGCUUGCCAUUUAAGUCUCUUGUGAAAUCCUACGUCUCAAGCGUGGUGAAGUGCAGGAGAUACUGGGUGGCUAGAGAUCGGUAGACGUAAGAAGUACGCCGGGGGUAACGGUCAAAUGUGUUAAUCCUCGGUGGACUAACGAUGAGCGAAGGCAUCUUACGAGGACGAAUCUGACAGUGAGGGAUGAAGGCCAGGGGCGCAAAACGGAUUAGAUACCCUAGUAGUC